rnacentral:rRNA from 1 species
UGUCAGCCAAAAUGAGCAUUCGUGCGAUAGCUACUGCGCUGAAUCGCAGUCCUUCGACGAUCUCACGUGAAGUUCAGCGUAAUCGGGGCAGACGCUAUUACAAAGCUGUUGAUGCUAAUAACCGAGCCAACAGAAUGGCGAAAAGGCCAAAACCGUGCUUACUGGAUCAAAAUUUACCAUUGCGAAAGCUUGUUCUGGAAAAGCUGGAGAUGAAAUGGUCUCCAGAGCAAAUAUCAGGAUGGUUAAGGCGAACAAAACCACGUCAAAAAACGCUGCGAAUAUCACCUGAGACAAUUUAUAAAACGCUGUACUUUCGUAGCCGUGAAGCGCUACACCACCUGAAUAUACAGCAUCUGCGACGGUCGCAUAGCCUUCGCCAUGGCAGGCGUCAUACCCGCAAAGGCGAAAGAGGUACGAUUAACAUAGUGAACGGAACACCAAUUCACGAACG